rnacentral:rRNA from 1 species
AGUAACGCGUGAGGAACCUGCCUUUCGGAGGGGGACAACAGUUGGAAACGACUGCUAAUACCGCAUGAUACAUUUGGAUCGCAUGGUCUGAAUGUCAAAGAUUUAUCGCCGAAAGAUGGCCUCGCGUCUGAUUAGCUAGUUGGUGAGGUAAUGGCCCACCAAGGCGACGAUCAGUAGCCGGACUGAGAGGGUGGACGGCCACAUUGGGACUGAGACACGGCCCAAACUCCUACGGGAGGCAGCAG